CAAUAAGCGGAGGAAAAGAAACCAACAGGGAUUGCCCUAGUAACGGCGAGUGAAGCGGCAACAGCUCAAAUUUGAAAUCUGGCUACUUUUGUAGUCCCGAGUUGUAAUUUGUAGAGGAUGCUUUUGGUGAGGUGCUUUCUGAGUUCCCUGGAACGGGACGCCAAAGAGGGUGAGAGCCCCGUACAGUUAGAUACCAAACCUUUGUAUAGCUCCUUCGACGAGUCGAGUAGUUUGGGAAUGCUGCUCUAAAUGGGAGGUAUAUCUCUUCUAAAGCUAAAUAUAGGCUAGAGACCGAUAGCGCACAAGUAGAGUGAUCGAAAGAUGAAAAGCACUUUGAAAAGAGAGUUAAACAGCACGUGAAAUUGUUGAAAGGGAAGCGCCUAUGACCAGACUUGUCUCUAUCAGUUUUGGUAGUUUUCGGACUGCUUUACUCUGUUAGUACAGGCCAACAUCAGUUUGUUGUUGGGGAGAAAGGCUUAGGGAAUGUGGCUCCUUUCGUGGGAGUGUUAUAGCCCUUUGCAUAAUACCCUUCGGCAGACUGAGGACCGCGCUUCGGCAAGGAUGUUGGCGUAAUGG
rnacentral:rRNA from 1 species